rnacentral:rRNA from 1 species
GGCCAUGGAUUUUGGGUUGGCUGGAUAUGAUUAGUGGCGGACGGGUGAGUAACAUUUAGGAAUCUGCCUAGUAGUGGGGGAUAGCUCGGGGAAACUCGAAUUAAUACCGCAUACGACCUACGGGUGAAAGGGGGCGCAAGCUCUUGCUAUUAGAUGAGCCUAAAUCAGAUUAGCUAGUUGGUGGGGUAAAGGCCCACCAAGGCGACGAUCUGUAACUGGUCUGAGAGGAUGAUCAGUCACACCGGAACUGAGACACGGUCCGGACUCCUACGGGAGGCAGCAGUGGGGAAUAUUGGACAAUGGGGGCAACCCUGAUCCAGCCAUGCCGCGUGUGUGAAGAAGGCCUUUUGGUUGUAAAGCACUUUAAGCAGGGAGGAGAGGCUAAUGGUUAAUACCCAUUAGAUUAGACGUUACCUGCAGAAUAAGCACCGGCUAACUCUGUGCCAGCAGCCGCGGUAAUACAGAGGGUGCGAGCGUUAAUC